GUAAUGCCUAGGAAUCUGCCUGGUAGUGGGGGAUAACGUUCGGAAACGGACGCUAAUACCGCAUACGUCCUACGGGAGAAAGCAGGGGACCUUCGGGCCUUGCGCUAUCAGAUGAGCCUAGGUCGGAUUAGCUAGUUGGUGGGGUAAUGGCUCACCAAGGCGACGAUCCGUAACUGGUCUGAGAGGAUGAUCAGUCACACUGGAACUGAGACACGGUCCAGACUCCUACGGGAGGCAGCAGUGGGGAAUAUUGGACAAUGGGCGAAAGCCUGAUCCAGCCAUGCCGCGUGUGUGAAGAAGGUCUUCGGAUUGUAAAGCACUUUAAGUUGGGAGGAAGGKUUGUAGAUUAAUACUCUGCAAUUUUGACGUUACCGACAGAAUAAGCACCGGCUAACUCUGUGCCAGCAGCCGCGGUAAUACAGAGGGUGCAAGCGUUAAUCGGAAUUACUGGGCGUAAAGCGCGCGUAGGUGGUUUGUUAAGUUGGAUGUGAAAUCCCCGGGCUCAACCUGGGAACUGCAUUCAAAACUGACUGACUAGAGUAUGGUAGAGGGUGGUGGAAUUUCCUGUGUAGCGGUGAAAUGCGUAGAUAUAGGAAGGAACACCAGUGGCGAAGGCGACCACCUGGACUAAUACUGACACUGAGGUGCGA
rnacentral:rRNA from 1 species